GAAAUAUCAUAAUAAGCUUCUAACUUAUAUAAAAGCAUUAAAUUGUUUAUAUUUCU
rnacentral:tRNA from 1 species